GGGGUGACUGCGUACCUUUUGUAUAAUGGGUCAGCGACUUAUAUUCUGUAGCAAGGUUAACCGAAUAGGGGAGCCGAAGGGAAACCGAGUCUUAACUGGGCGUUAAGUUGCAGGGUAUAGACCCGAAACCCGGUGAUCUAGCCAUGGGCAGGUUGAAGGUUGGGUAACACUAACUGGAGGACCGAACCGACUAAUGUUGAAAAAUUAGCGGAUGACCUGUGGCUGGGGGUGAAAGGCCAAUCAAACCGGGAGAUAGCUGGUUCUCCCCGAAAGCUAUUUAGGUAGCGCCUCGUGAACUCAUCUUCGGGGGUAGAGCACUGUUUCGGCUAGGGGGUCAUCCCGACUUACCAACCCGAUGCAAACUGCGAAUACCGAAGAAUGUUAUCACGGGAGACACACGGCGGGUGCUAACGUCCGUCGUGAAGAGGGAAACAACCCAGACCGCCAGCUAAGGUCCCAAAGUCAUGGUUAAGUGGGAAACGAUGUGGGAAGGCCCAGACAGCCAGGAUGUUGGCUUAGAAGCAGCCAUCAUUUAAAGAAAGCGUAAUAGCUCACUGGUCGAGUCGGCCUGCGCGGAAGAUGUAACGGGGCUAAACCAUGCACCGAAGCUGCGGCAGCGACGCUUAUGCGUUGUUGGGUAGGGGAGCGUUCUGUAAGCCGUCGAAGGUGUGCUGUGAGGCAUGCUGGAGGUAUCAGAAGUGCGAAUGCUGACAUAAGUAACGAUAAAGCGGGUGAAAAGCCCGCUCGCCGGAAGACCAAGGGUUCCUGUCCAACGUUAAUCGGGGCAGGGUGAGUCGACCCCUAAGGCGAGGCCGAAAGGCGUAGUCGAUGGGAAACAGGUUAAUAUUCCUGUACUUGGUGUUACUGCGAAGGGGGGACGGAGAAGGCUAUGUUAGCCGGGCGACGGUUGUCCCGGUUUAAGCAUGUAGGCGGAGGUUCCAGGUAAAUCCGGUACCUUUUAACGCUGAGGUGUGAUGACGAGGCACUACGGUGCUGAAGUAACAAAUGCCCUGCUUCCAGGAAAAGCCUCUAAGCAUCAGGUAACACGAAAUCGUACCCCAAACCGACACAGGUGGUCAGGUAGAGAAUACCAAGGCGCUUGAGAGAACUCGGGUGAAGGAACUAGGCAAAAUGGUGCCGUAACUUCGGGAGAAGGCACGCUGACAUGUAGGUGAAGCCCCUGCGGGUGGAGCUGAAGUCAGUCGAAGAUACCAGCUGGCUGCAACUGUUUAUUAAAAACACAGCACUGUGCAAACACGAAAGUGGACGUAUACGGUGUGACGCCUGCCCGGUGCCGGAAGGUUAAUUGAUGGGGUUAUCCGUAAGGAGAAGCUCUUGAUCGAAGCCCCGGUAAACGGCGGCCGUAACUAUAACGGUCCUAAGGUAGCGAAAUUCCUUGUCGGGU
rnacentral:rRNA from 1 species